UAAGUAAGCGGAGGAUAAGAAACUAAAUAGGAUUCCCUCAGUAAUGGCGAAUGAACAGGGAUCAGCUCAGCAUGGAAAUUGGGGCCCUCGGCCUUGAAUUGUAGUCUCGAGAUGUACUGCCAACGGAGGCGCAGAUGUAAGCCUCUUGGAAAAGAGCAUCAGCGAGGGUGACAAUCCCGCUUGCCAUCUGCAGCCCCCCGUGCACGGUGUACCUUCUAAGAGUCACGUUCCUCGGGAUUGGAGCGCAAAGUGGGUGGUAAAUUUCAUCUACAGCUAAAUACUGGUUCGAGACCGAUAGCAAACAAGUACCAUGAGGGAAAGGUGAAAAGGACUUUGAAAAGAGAGUUAGAAGUGCCUGAACUUGCUGAAAGGGAAGCGAAUGGAACCAGUGUUGCUUGGCAAGAUUGCUGUGCACCACUGUGAGGGUCUGCUAUGCUAGCGCAAGUGGUGUGGUAGACUUUGAGCAGGACCUGCACGGUGUUUCUUGCCUUGUGUGUCAGCGUCAGUUCGCGCUUGGGGAAGACGUCAAGGACAUGGUAGCCUGCCCACGGGCAUGUGAACGUGCUUGCUCGAACUCAUGCGGGAACUGCACGGUGACGAAAUAGUUCUUUUCGACCCG
rnacentral:rRNA from 1 species